AUGGCAUCCAAGAGCACAACGACCCGGAUGGCGGCGGUUUUCGUGGUUCUUAUGAUCAUGUCUUUCACCCUAUCAUCAUCGCCCUGCUACGCUCGCACAAUUGAAGAUGGAGCGAAUCCUCCAACAUGCUUCCAUCAGGAAAAAUGCCAAGAUCGUUGCCAGACUGCAUGCAGCAUCAGCGGCCAACCCUCGAUUGGAGCCUACUGCAAGCUCGAUCAAUGUUGUUGUGCCUAG
rnacentral:rRNA from 1 species